UUUUUUUUCUAUGCACUAGAGUUUUGUUUUGUUCUGCAUAUCAGAAUGAAGCUUCCUUAUAAUGAUGCUAGCCUAAAGUUUCUGGUGAAGUUUUUUCACCCAUAUUCAGCUACUUCAUUGGCAGGAUAACUUCAGAUUUUGAUGGCCUUUAUAUAACUGCCUUGUUUUCUUUUCAUUUCCUAGAGUGGCUGGUAUCCAUCUUUGUGAAACUUCAUCCGCAUCUACGGAAUUUCACAGCUAAAGAUAUCUUCUGAGGAUUAAGGAAAUAUUAUUGCAUAUUAUAUAUCAUCAAAGGAACUUCUGUUUUGUGAGAUUAGCUGUGAUAUUUCUCUGUGUAUUUGGCACACAAGCAAAACAAUUGGCUCCUAAAUAGAGUGGUUGCUUUCAAUUAACUCAGCCAUUGGUGCUUAUUCUAUCUGGGAGAGGUAGAGCAGCCCAGGAAAUGUGAAUUCAGGAUUUGGUAUGAACAUGGGGUCUUUCAGCAGGUAACUUUAGAGGGUAGCAGUUAUUUUCUGUGCUAUUGCAGCUCUAAUAGCUGAGACUGUAUGAGAAUCUUUCCUUUCCAGGCUCUCCAAGGCUCACUUCCUACAGAAAUUGGAAGUAGUAGGACAGUCACAGAUGGUUCCAGCUGAUGGCUCUGCAAAGCCCUGAAUCCAUGCCUGCUGAGUGCUAGGGAAGCAGCUCCUCAGCUUUCUGUCAUGUCCAGCCAGCUUUUGUGAGGCUGUGUCUGGCUGUGCAAGGAAUCCAUGCCUGGCUACUGGACCUGAACAUAAAACAGAUAGCAGAUGACCUCAUGUAAUUUUCUUCCUGCCCCAGCUGUGUUCUCACAGUGGUGGUUUCAGUCAAUUUGGAAACAGGAGCUAAACCAAUCAGGCUGUUCUGGGGCUUGGGAUACAGCAGAGGUGAUGUAAUCACUCUUUCUUCCCUUCUCUGGAGGAGGAAAAUUCUUAUGGAGGACAGUUUCUAGAUGUACCAUCUGGUCUUUUGCACACAGAAAUCUCCUGACCUGGAAUAAGGCAGAACAUGUUGUUAAAUAAACAGGGUGUCAGAAUAGACUGUUUUCCCA
rnacentral:lncRNA from 1 species